CCUACGGGUGGCUGCAGUGGGGAAUAUUGGACAAUGGGCGAAAGCCUGAUCCAGCCAUGCCGCGUGUGUGAAGAAGGCCUUCGGGUUGUAAAGCACUUUCAGUGGGGAAGAAAGCCUUGGGGCUAAUACCCUCGAGGAAGGACAUCACCCACAGAAGAAGCACCGGCUAACUCCGUGCCAGCAGCCGCGGUAAUACGGAGGGUGCGAGCGUUAAUCGGAAUUACUGGGCGUAAAGCGCGCGUAGGCGGUCUGAUAAGCCGGUUGUGAAAGCCUCGGGCUCAACCUGGGAACGGCAUCCGGAACUGUCAGGCUAGAGCGCAGGAGAGGAAGGUAGAAUUCCCGGUGUAGCGGUGAAAUGCGUAGAGAUCGGGAGGAAUACCAGUGGCGAAGGCGGCCUUCUGGACUGACACUGACGCUGAGGUGCGAAAGCGUGGGUAGCAAACAGGAUUAGAUACCCUUGUAGUC
rnacentral:rRNA from 1 species